UCUAAGCUCUGGUGCCAAGGCAGAGCUGAGUGGUACGUGUCUGACUGUGAGUGUUUGCCUGGGCCAAAGUCUCCCCUGGAGGGGUCACGCUAAAGGAGUGGAAAGGUGAAACCCAGAGGAAGAAGAACCUACUUUGAAGGCUUCAGUGGAUUAAAAGAUAUGCCUUUCCUCCCUGUGUCAGGUCUUUGGAAAGUGGUGUUCUGCUGUGAGAGGAAGUCGGGUCUGGAGGUAUUGGAAAGGCUUGGGAGAUCAUUCAAACACACUGGAUAUGAGAACAGAAGCAUGUCAGCGUGGAAGAACUUUGAUCUUUAACCAAAUAGGACCAACUAGCUUUGUCCAGAGGAGAUCAAAGGGUGGAAGGUAAGAAGUGCUGAAAGCUGGCAAAGAAUCACCAAAAGGAGACACAAAAGAGAGAGUCCCAAUCAAGCUUAAUGACAGACACAGUCUAAAGCCCCGUGUUCCAGAUUUUUUCGAAAUGAAGCAGCCAACGAAAUCAAAACUGUGGACAAAAUUCCUUUGCUAAGAAGUGAAGAGGAUUUGGUUUUAGUCAAGAUGCGAAUGAGCUAACCUGUUCUCUGUGCUCCCGAAGGACAACUUCCAGCUCUGUUUCAGGGAAUUAGACCUAGUUUUCUUUGAGGAACCCUGGCUGAGCAUCAGCUGCUUAUCACACAUGACUGGAAGCGAUUGACCUAGUGUUAGCAGGAUGACCUGAGAUGAAAAAUUACAACAGAAACGCUUCUUUCUUGACAAAAUAUUCUCCUUCAAAUCCAAGUGUUGCCUGCUUUGUGAUGUCACAGUGAAAAGGCAUUGCACAAGUGAUAACAGCCUGCAAUGCCCAGAAAGGAGUUGGUGGCAAGUCACAGACCACACCCCAACCUUUCAGUCCUUUUGCUAAUUUCUGCUGCUUCACUUCAGAGUCCCAGAACAACAGUGUGAUGACUCACCAGCCUUACUUCCUGCUGUGGAGUGCUUUCUCCUGCUCAGCAAGGCUCAGUGCUGAAUUUCCUGUGACAUUUGCAUUUGUUAUUAAGGCCUGGGAUCCUGCAGUCACAUUCCAUGUUGGUGAGUCCAUAGAAGGGAAAUUCCUAGGGUCAACUCUUCUCACCAUCUGACUGAUAACAUGUUUGUGUUCUGAGAAGGCUAACUUUUGAGGAUGUUGGAAGAUGAUGAAGAAUUCUGAGUCUCUUCUGGACUGUGAAGGAGACCUUCUAGAAAGUUGUGUCUGCUGAGACUGAUUGACUGAUUAGAAUUUCAGUGCUAUGGAGAGAUUUGAAUGUUACAGGUCCAGAGGCUAAUUACCUUAUCUUCGGUUAACUUUACCUGCACACCUCAACAGCUAUUCCUUGUGUGCCUCUGUGUCAGAACCAGCAUCCUGUGACUAAUAGAUAAAAGCCUUUGGAAACUAUUAAUUUAACAGACCUUCUACCAAGCCCAAAGAUAACAGUGUUAACAGAUAACAUCUUUGGUCUAUAAAAUAAGUUUCCUCAACCUUGCUGUAACCACCUCUCAGAUAU